CCGUCCAGCGUCCUAGGCGGGGUGCCACGGGACCUCCCUCGUGUCUGGCGGUGGGAUUCCGUGGCCGUGCUUUCCUGGUGGCCCCGCC
rfam:Gorilla gorilla gorilla genomic chromosome, chr2B, whole genome shotgun sequence